rnacentral:rRNA from 1 species
AUUGAACGCUGGCGGCAGGCCUAACACAUGCAAGUCGAGCGGAUGAAGGGAGCUUGCUCCUGGAUUCAGCGGCGGACGGGUGAGUAAUGCCUAGGAAUCUGCCUGGUAGUGGGGGAUAACGUCCGGAAACGGGCGCUAAUACCGCAUACGUCCUGAGGGAGAAAGUGGGGGAUCUUCGGACCUCACGCUAUCAGAUGAGCCUAGGUCGGAUUAGCUAGUUGGUGGGGUAAAGGCCUACCAAGGCGACGAUCCGUAACUGGUCUGAGAGGAUGAUCAGUCACACUGGAACUGAGACACGGUCCAGACUCCUGCGGGAGGCAGCAGUGGGGAAUAUUGGACAAUGGGCGAAAGCCUAAUCCAGCCAUGCCGCGUGUGUGAAGAAGGUCUUCGGCUUGUAAAACAAUUUAAGUUGGGAGGAAGGGCAGUAAGUUAAUACCUUGCUGUUUUGACGUUACCAACAGAAUAAGCACCGGCUAACUUCGUG